rnacentral:rRNA from 1 species
GCACGGGUGCGUAACGCGUAUGCAAUCUACCUUUCACAGAGGGAUAGCCCAGAGAAAUUUGGAUUAAUACCUCAUAGUAUAGUGAUACCGCAUGGUACUGCUAUUAAAGUCACAACGGUGAAAGAUGAGCAUGCGUCCCAUUAGCUAGUUGGUAAGGUAACGGCUUACCAAGGCAACGAUGGGUAGGGGUCCUGAGAGGGAGAUCCCCCACACUGGUACUGAGACACGGACCAGACUCCUACGGGAGGCAGCAGUGAGGAAUAUUGGUCAAUGGGCGCAAGCCUGAACCAGCCAUGCCGCGUGCAGGAUGGCGGUCCUAUGGAUUGUAAACUGCUUUUGCACAGGAAGAAACAACAUUACGUGUAAUGUCUUGACGGUACUGUGAGAAUAAGGAUCGGCUAACUCCGUGCCAGCAGCCGCGGUAAUACGGAGGAUCCAAGCGUUAUCCGGAAUCAUUGGGUUUAAAGGGUCCGUAGGCGGUUUAGUAAGUCAGUGGUGAAAGCCCAUCGCUCAACGGUGGAACGGCCAUUGAUACUGCUAGACUUGAAUUAUUAGGAAGUAACUAGAAUAUGUAGUGUAGCGGUGAAAUGCUUAGAGAUUACAUGGAAUACCAAUUGCGAAGGCAGGUUACUACUAAUGGAUUGACGCUGAUGGACGAAAGCGUGGGUAGCGAACAGGAUUAGAUACCCUGGUAGUCCACGCCGUAAACGAUGGAUACUAGCUGUUGGGAGCGAUCUCAGUGGCUAAGCGAAAGUGAUAAGUAUCCCACCUGGGGAGUACGUUCGCAAGAAUGAAACUCAAAGGAAUUGACGGGGGCCCGCACAAGCGUGGAGCAUGUGGUUUAUUCGAUG